GCCCGGAUGGUCUAGUGGUAUGUCUUCUCUCCGUCUGCAAAUUCCAGACCUCGCACUAACUUGUCUCCUCUCAGGUAUGAUUCUCGCUUUGGGAUAUUCACAUCUUAAAUGCGAGAGGCCCCGCGUUCGAAUCGCGGUUCGGGCC